AAACUGAAGAUGGCGACCGGCGCACGGGUGAGUAACACGUAUCCAACCUGCCGAUAACUCCGGAACAGCCUUUCGAAAGAAAGAUUAAUACCGGAUAGUAUACGAAUAUCGCAUGAUAUUUUUAUUAAAGAAUUUCGGUUAUCGAUGGGGAUGCGUUCCAUUAGUUUGUUGGCGGGGUAACGGCCCACCAAGACUACGAUGGAUAGGGGUUCUGAGAGGAAGGUCCCCCACAUUGGAACUGAGACACGGUCCAA
rnacentral:rRNA from 1 species